UGAGGCCUAGCACUCUGGAG
rnacentral:piRNA from 1 species